UGCAAAAUAUCAGAAUCGCACAGACCACAUUGUUUUAAACUCUUUGGAAAAGACCCGAAUGAACUUCCAUUUGUUCUGCGAUCACAGAUUAUCGACUGGUUAUCCCAUAGUCCUACAGAGAUUGAAAGCUAUAUAAGGCCAGGAUGCAUCAUUUUGACAAUUUACCUCCGUCUAGAAAAAUCCACGUGGGAGGAGCUCUGCUGUCAUCUGGGAUCCAGUUUGCAAAGACUUUUAGAUGCCACCAAUGAUCCUUUCUGGAGAAUAGGAUAGGUGUAUACUAGGAUGCAACAUUUUGUUGCAUUUAUGUACAAUGGUUUGUUCUUUUAAACCCU